rnacentral:rRNA from 1 species
UCCCUUAGUAGCGGCGAGCGAACAGGGAAGAGCCCAGCGCCGAAUUCCGCGUCUCAAAGGGCGUUUGGAACAUGUGGCGUUUAGGAGGAAUCUCUCCGAGGGCAGACGGUGUCGCAAGUCCCCCUGAACGGGGCUGUGAUCCAGAGCGGGUGCGAGGCCCAUAGCUGGUACCGUCUCCUUUGGGUGUCCCCUCCUUGGAGUCGGGUUGCUUGGGAGUGCAGCCCUAAUUGGGUGGUAAACUCCACCUAAGGCUAAAUACGUCCGUGAGACCGAUAGCAAACAAGUACCGUGAGGGAAAGUUGCAAAGAACUUUGAAGAGAGAGUUCAAGAGUACGUGAAACCGCUCAGAGGCAAACGGGUGGGCCCACGAAAGCCGAAGGCGGGGGGAUUCAGUCGAGAGGACGGUGGGGCAGGACUGGCUGGUUGGACGGACCGUGCCAGGCCGGGUCAGUUCCCGAGAUCUGCCGCCUUUCGACGCAUUUCCCCCUGCUUAGUAGGACGCCGCAACCGGUUGGCGCUGCAGCCAUAAGGGCGAGUAAAUGGAAGGUAGCCAGUGAGUUCUUCUUCGGAGGCGCGAGCUGGUCCUAAGCCGACUCUCCUGGUGCUUGUGGCCCGACCGUGGUCGUGAGUCCCUCAACGGGAUGUCGCCGAGCCCUCUGACUGGAGCGGGAGAAGUGGCAGGCUGCUUUCCGCGGAAAAAAUCGAUCGCUUCACGCGUGCAGUGGGCGAUCUCCGGAGGUAGCUGCUGGUGCGUUUUUCUCCUGCGCUGGGCACAGGCAGUUGGCGGCGAGUAGGUCGGUCACCCACCCGACCCGUCUUGAAACACGGACCAAGGAGUCUAACAUGUGCGCGAGUCAUUGGGUCUUGAACAAGCCCAAAGGCGCAAUGAAAGUGAAGACCAGCACUGAAGCUGGUGGAGUUGGGAAACUGCRUCACUGAAGAUGCAGUUGCACCAACGGCCCGUCCCGUCCGCAUCGUCGGUGGGGCGGAGCGAGAGCGUACACGUUGGGACCCGAAAGAUGGUGAACUAUGCCUGGGCAGGACGAAGCCAGAGGAAACUCUGGUGGAGGUCCG